rnacentral:rRNA from 1 species
GACGAACGCUGGCGGCGUGCCUAAUACAUGCAAGUUGAGCGAUGAAGGUUGGUGCUUGCACCAAUUUGAAGAGCAGCGAACGGGUGAGUAACGCGUGGGGAAUCUGCCUUUGAGCGGGGGACAACAUUUGGAAACGAAUGCUAAUACCGCAUAACAACUUUAAACAUAAGUUUUAAGUUUGAAAGAUGCAAUUGCAUCACUCAAAGAUGAUCCCGCGUUGUAUUAGCUAGUUGGUGAGGUAAAGGCUCACCAAGGCGAUGAUACAUAGCCGACCUGAGAGGGUGAGCGGCCACAUUGGGACUGAGACACGGCCCAAACUCCUACGGGAGGCAGCAGUAGGGAAUCUUCGGCAAUGGACGAAAGUCUGACCGAGCAACGCCGCGGGAGUGAAGAAGGUUUUCGGAUCGUAAAACUCUGUUGGUAGAGAAGAACGUUGGUGAGAGUGGAAAGCUCAGCAAGUGACGGUAACUACCCAGAAAGGGACGGCUAACUACGUG